UUGAGAAUAUUUUGAAUAUUAGAAAUAAAUUUCGAUAAUUUUUGCAAUAAGAAUUUUCAAAAUAAGAAAAAGGAUAAAAAUCAUUAUUAUAAUUUAGCUUAAAAAGGAAGGGGCUGGAGGCAUAUUAAUUAACUUAAAUUUAAAAAAAGAAUGGGUAGAAUAAGAAAGAAAAUGAAAAAUGAGUCAUAUUACCAUUAGUCUGAUAUAAAAGCACGGGCUUGGAAGCUAAGUACUAUUUAUAUAAUAAUCUGUGGUAUAAUUAAGUACAGUCGAAGCCUAAUAGAUUAUUGUAUAAAAUAAUAAAUAAUGACAAAAAAAAAAAUAAAAAAUCAAGGGCAUAUGCAAAGCAGAGGGGCAACGCAAUUGAUGAUGAUGAUGGGUUUCCCAUAAAAUGCAAUGGAUUGGUAAUUGUAAGGGUUUUAUGUCGUCUCCGUGAAAACAAGAAAGCAAAAGCAGAAUAUGAAUAAACACUCUUUUAUUUGGCUCAAUUAAUUAAUUAAUUAUUAUCAUUAUUAAUUUUAUAUCUAACUAUUUCAAAAAGAAAUGAUUUCUUGUCUGAUAUCUGCCUUCCCUUUAGCUAUAUAAAUCCAUUUCUUCCACUUAUAGAUCCAUGAGUUAGCUUGCUAGUUUACUAGAAACUCUCCUCUUCUCUCCUUCACCGACCCCUUUAGAUGUCUUUAUUUUUCUCACUCUAUUUCUUCUCAUCAACACCCCCUUUCUUUCUGUCUUUUUUCCUCUCAACCCUUUCAAAUUUGAUCUUUUUUUAUUAGCUUAUUUCAGUGCAAUCCUCAUCAAACUUGCUAUGAGAGGGUUCCAUAGGUUUCCAUGGAAUCCUAUUUCUUCAUCUUUAUAAAAGUACAAGUAGCAUAGAUCUGCAUACUAAUAACAUUAGCAUUGAUAUCUAAGUUUUAAUUUUUUGAGCACAUAUAUCUACAUAUGAUUUUCUUGCAUUUCCUUGUUGAUGAGCAUUUUAAGAGAGCUUUCUUCAGUCCACUCAUGGGUGGCGGUAGGAUUUAAUUAGCUGCCGACUCAUUCAUCCAAAUACUGAGUUAAAAAGUUCAGAAAACAAAAGGGGCGGGUGCUGUAGAAAAGAAGGUUUACCCAGUAAAUGAGUGAAUGAUGCGGGAGACAAAUUGAAUCUUAAGCUUCCUGUACUUGGACUGAAGGGAGCUCCCUUUACUGUUAUUUAAUUCAUACUCUCUCCUUUUCUUUGCUUAAACUAGUUUAUUUUUAUGUACAUAUAUGUAUGCUUGCAAUUUAGUAUGUCUUGUGGCUAUCAGUGCUCUAUAUUCUUUCUCAAAAACAAUAUCAAGAUAUCUAGUACUUUGAUGCUGAGGUAAUGCUAGAGAACCCUGAACUUAUCCUUCACCUGUAGAGUAGUCUUUAUCCAGUUUGUCUCUCGACUUUUCAAUAAAACUUAUCUUGUUUGGUGACCUAGAAAGAGGGCUAUAUAUCUGUCUUUAUCAGUUCACCUCCAAAGUUUGGAUUGAAGUUGGAAACAAGGGUUUGGGGUAUUAGGGUUUUUUGUGAAAGCUACUGCCCCAUUAAAAAGGGCAAGCGCAUGAGCUGGAGAAGAAGGCCUUGCACAAGCUCACGCUCCUCAACAAAUUAGCUUCUCGGGUACUGCUCUGCAACAAGUUCCCAGAUGGCUAGACAUGUCUCCUCUGAGGUUCAAUUACCGAAAUAUCCUCAACUGAGCUUCGAGCGGUGCUUCAAGGAAGAUACUUUGUUAAUUAAUUUUGUACAAUUAAAAGACUUAACUUUCUCUUCAUUUCUUGUUUCAUUCUGAUCUGCUCGCUCUACUAUUUUUUUUUUCUUUCCAGUCUAUUUGCAAGUACAAACUGCAGUUGAUCGAUCGAGCUGCUGCUGGCGUUUCUUGGGUGUAUUCUUCACUGCAGAUUGAAACUAUCACUUUCUUCAUUAUGUUUCUUGGGAAUUACAUAGUUUGGUUUCUGUAGUUGUUGGUUAAAAGAUCUAAUUAUCUUUCUAGAUCAAUUUCUUAAUUUGUCAUGUACAACAAGCAUGAGAUUAACACGUUUGUGCCUGUGCACGGGUCUGGGCGAAAGGGAAAGCUGAAGCUGGCCCUGGUUUGUCUGCAUAUGCUCUUGAUGCUCUUUUAGAAGUGCAAAAUGUAUCACCACCACCACCACCAAAUAGAGGCAUCAUGGGAACUAGAAGAUCACUUGGAAAAAGUUGAUGAGACAUUUAGUUUGUCCUCUCUUCCAGCAUACAAAUGAUAUUCAUGAUUAUUUCUCUAAUGUGAUUUUGUUGAAGCAUCUAGAUAUGGAUAUCUUUUGUUAUAUCUAAUUAAAAGUACUCCAUUUCAUUAUAAAUGAAAGUGGAUGGCAGAAAAGAAAAAAGAAAAGGUACAUCAGUGUCCUUUUUUUUUUUCUUUUGUUCUUUGCA